CAGUGUGUAAGACUGGUGGAGGAGAACAUGAUGCCAAGAUGCAUGAAAAAAAACUGUGAUUAAAAACCAACCAGGGUUAUUCCACCAAAUAUUGAUUAUUUCUGAACUCUUAAAACUUUAUGAAUAUGAACUUGUUUUCUUUGCAUUAUUUGAGGUCUGAAAGCUCUGCAUACUUUUUUUGUUAUUUCAGACAUUUCUCAUUUUCUGUAAAUAAAUGCUCUAAAUGACAAAAUGAGAAAUGUUAAUUUUACUUGAACAUAAACCUAUAAAUAGCAAAAUCAGAGAAACUGAUUCAGAAACUGAAGUGCUCUCUCCAUUUUUUUACAGAGCUGUAUGUAGGUUUAUGCUGGUUGUCGGUACGUAGCCUUAUGAACACCUUACGAAGGUCAAUCUGACUUGAUCUGUACCACAUUCUAGAUGAUUCCCUGAGAAAAUGCAGCAGAAAAUAAACCCAAAUACUGGAUUGAAUGUUUUGGUUUUGGUUGUUGGAGAUUUAUUUUGGUUUAACGUCUGAAAGCAGAACUGAAGAAUUUACCAAAAGAUCCUGUUUGUUUGUUUGUUUGUUUGUUUGUUUUUUUCUGUGUUGAGCUGUGAAAUUUCAUUCUUCUUGUUAGAACAUUCAUGCAAUAAAAGCGUGUGCGUUUUUCUAAA